CUUUAACGGAGAGUUUGAUCCUGGCUCAGGACGAACGCUGGCGGCGUGCCUAAUACAUGCAAGUCGAGCGGACUUGAAGGAGUGCUUGCACUCCUGAUAGUUAG
rnacentral:rRNA from 1 species